UGCCAGCAGCCGCGGUAAUACGGGAGUGGCAAGCGUUGUUCGGAAUUACUGGGCGUAAAGGGCGCGUAGGCGGUCUUUUAAGUUAGGCGUGAAAGCCCCGGGCUCAACCCGGGAACUGCGCUUAAUACUGGAAGACUAGAAAACGGAAGAGGGUAGUGGAAUUCCCAGUGUAGAGGUGAAAUUCGUAGAUAUUGGGAAGAACACCAGUGGCGAAAGCGGCUACCUGGUCCGAUUUUGACGCUGAGGCGCGAAAGCGUGGGGAGCAAACAGGAUUAGAUA
rnacentral:rRNA from 1 species